rnacentral:rRNA from 1 species
UACGUAGGGUGCGAGCGUUGUCCGGAAUUACUGGGCGUAAAGAGCUCGUAGGUGGUUUGUCGCGUUGUUCGUGAAAACUCACAGCUUAACUGUGGGCGUGCGGGCGAUACGGGCAGACUGGAGUACUGCAGGGGAGACUGGAAUUCCUGGUGUAGCGGUGGAAUGCGCAGAUAUCAGGAGGAACACCGGUGGCGAAGGCGGGUCUCUGGGCCGAUACUGACGCUGAGGAGGGAAAGCGUGGGGAGCGAACAGG